UGGCUCUGUCACAGUAGGAAUUGAAUAUUUCGCUGCAGGAGAUCAGGUCGUACGUUAGUGUUAUGUGCUGGUCGACCAAAUCCAGAAACACGUGGAGCGAGUCCUUUUUAUACCCCCAACAAGAUAGUCCAUUUAGUCCUUUGCUGCAGCAAGAUAUUUCCUCUUUCGUGCAUCGCCUCACCGAGCACCCAAGCUUCACAGAGACAGAGCAGAGCGACCGGAAGGCCAAUCGAUACGCUACGCGAUGCAAAAACGCGCGGCGGCGGCCCUGCUCGGGCUCGCCGCGGCCGUCCUGGGGUUCGCCGCGGAGUACUCCAAGUACAAGGCAAGCUAGACGCCCGCCUUACCAUCUCUGUGGUUGUUCGUGGUGCCGGCGGCGGUGAUGUUCCUGUCCGGCGCGGAGCGGAACAAGGGAGGCAUUCACCGUGACCUUUCGGCGGCCCGGGCGCAGCAGCGACGGCCGCGACUACGACGUCGUCUGCUCCGGGUUCACGGACGGAAUCUUCGUGUCGGCGUCCAUCGCGGCCGCCAUCGGCGUCGCGUGCGCGAUCGCGGCCUACGUCGACAUCAUGCGGCACAGGGACCGGACGGCGCGGCGGCCACGCUGGGCGUCGCCAUGGGGCAGCAAUACCCGGCUCAACCUCCGUACGGUGGCUGCAGCGCCAAGCAACCUGGAGGGACGACAGCUUGAGCCUCAUGACGUCGGUAUUCCACCAGCGUGUGCGUGUGGUUGCUUAUCUGUGGCGAUGUUACUAAUCUGCGGCGAUGUGCCGCCACUGCGUCACGAUUAAUUGUGUGCCGCUGUAUUAUGUGAUAGUGUACUUCGCUAAUUGACUUUGUAGCUUUCGCAACUCCUCAUCAUGGUUAUUUGGCAAAUUGUAAGUGGGAUUCAUCACUUGGAUAAAUUGGUUCGUCUCGGCUCU